UACGUAGGGGCCUAGCGUUGUCCGGAAUUAUUGGGCGUAAAGAGCUCGUAGGCGGUUCGGCAAGUCGGAUGUGAAAUCUCCACGCUUAACGUGGAGGGGCCAUUCGAAACUGCUGUGACUCGAGUCCGGUAGGGGAGUGUGGAAUUCCCGGUGUAGCGGUGAAAUGCGCAGAUAUCGGGAGGAACACCAGUGGCGAAGGCGGCACUCUGGGCCGGUACUGACGCUGAGGAGCGAAAGCGUGGGGAGCGAACAGG
rnacentral:rRNA from 1 species